GACGAACCGUGCGAACGUUGUUCGGAAUCACUGGGCUUAAAGGGCGCGUAGGCGGCUUCUCAAGUCGGGGGUGAAAUCUUUCGGCUCAACCGGAAAAGUGCCUCCGAUACUGGGAAGCUCGAGGGAGGUAGGGGCGGACGGAACGUUCCGGUGGAGCGGUGAAAUGCGUUGAUAUCGGAAGGAACGCCGGUGGCGAAAGCGGUCCGCUGGCCCUCUACUGGACGCUGAGGCGCGAAAGCCAGGGGA
rnacentral:rRNA from 1 species